CCCUUAGAUGUCCUGGGCCGCACGCGCGCUACAAUGACUUAUUCAGAAAGUUUACCUGGUUCGGAAGAAUUCAGGGUAAUCUUUGUAAUACAAGUCGUGUUAGGGAUCGAUCUUUGCAAUUAUAGAUCUUGAACGAGGAAUGCCUAGUAAGCGCAGUUCAUCAGGCUGCGCUGAUUACGUCCCUGCCCUUUGUACACACCGCCCGUCGCUCCUACCGAUUUCGAGUGGUCCGGUGAACCAUCUGGAUUGGAUCGCAAGAUUCGAGAAGUUUAGUAAACCUUAUCACUUAGAGGAAGGAGAAGUCGUAACA
rnacentral:rRNA from 1 species